rnacentral:rRNA from 1 species
UACGUAGGGUGCGAGCGUUGUCCGGAAUUAUUGGGCGUAAAGAGCUCGUAGGCGGUUUGUCGCGUCUGCCGUGAAAGUCCGGGGCUCAACUCCGGAUCUGCGGUGGGUACGGGCAGACUAGAGUGAUGUAGGGGAGACUGGAAUUCCUGGUGUAGCGGUGAAAUGCGCAGAUAUCAGGAAGAACACCAAUGGCGAAAAGCAGCUCUCUGGGACGGUACUGACGCUGAGACGCGAAAGCGUGGGGAGCGAACAGG